UACGUAGGGUCCGAGCGUUGUCCGGAAUUACUGGGCGUAAAGAGCUCGUAGGUGGUUUGUCGCGUUGUUCGUGAAAACUCACAGCUCAACUGUGGGCGUGCGGGCGAUACGGGCAGACUAGAGUUCGGUAGGGGAGUCUGGAAUUCCUGGUGUAGCGGUGAAAUGCGCAGAUAGUCAGGAGGGAACACCCGGUGGGCGAAAGGCGGGACUCUGGG
rnacentral:rRNA from 1 species